UAGCCUUGGAGUGGGGAAUAACACAGUGAGAACUGUGCUAAUACCGCAUAAUGCAUUUGGGUCGCAUGAUUCUGAAUGCCAAAGAUUUAUCGCUCUGAGAUGGACUCGCGUCUGAUUAGCUGGUUGGCGGGGUAACGGCCCACCAAGGCGACGAUCAGUAGCCGGACUGAGAGGUUGGCCGGCCACAUUGGGACUGAGACACGGCCCAG
rnacentral:rRNA from 1 species